GUAGGGGGCUAGCGUUGUCCGGAUUUAUUGGGCGUAAAGAGCGCGUAGGCGGCCGAGUAAGUCCGACGUGAAAUCUGGAGGCUCAACCUCCAGCGGUCGUUGGAAACUACCCGGCUAGAGUCCGGAAGAGGAGAGUGGAAUUCCUGGUGUAGCGGUGAAAUGCGCAGAUAUCAGGAAGAACACCGAUGGCGAAAGCAGCUCUCUGGGACGGUACUGACGCUGAGGCGCGAAAGCGUGGGGAGCGAACAGGAUUAGAUACCCUGGUAGUCCACGCCGUAAACGAUGGGUGCUAGGUGUGGGCGGUGUCGACUCCGCCCGUGCCGAAGCUAACGCAUUAAGCACCCCGCCUGGGGAGUACGGCCGCAAGGCUAAA
rnacentral:rRNA from 1 species